rnacentral:lncRNA from 1 species
ACGCAUAAUAUGGUCGACUAGGUUCCGAUUUUGUUGCACAAUUUACGAGUAUUGUGUAUGAGAGAGAUAAGGUACUACACACAACAUCCGAUAUUAGUAACAUUGUAACUUUUUCGUUGUGUAACUUUCGUUCUUGAGUAAGAAGUGAUGGUUUAUUAUAGAAAGGAGUCUACUUCGUGCUAAUUAUUACAGUUUCAUUUUUAAUUAUUGCUAGUUUCAGACAGUUUUUGUAUCAUAUGUGGUAUUAGACGAUGAGUACCUACCAUUUUUUCAGCACCUAAAUGAGUAGGUCUACAUAAUUCUCUACAAUUUAUUUUAAUCAGCUGCUACAGAAAUAUGUUUAAAACGGAGGUACAUCAAUGUUAAACCCAA